AUGCUAUGGUUGGGCGUCUUGGCUCCAAAAAUUCUUAUAUAUUAUAUAAAAAUUCCUCGCAAAGUUUCGUUGCAUUCCGAGAACUUUUAUUUCUGCACAAAAACAACACCAUGCUAUGAACCACAUUCUGUGCUGCCAAUCGGCGUGACGACUUUGGCUAAUCAUGUCAGGUUUAUGCCUCUGCCUAAGCUCAAAGUCCUUGCGAGCAGUGCGGUGUUCCACACCCCAUUCAUGAGGAAGAUAUGGACAUGGAUAGGACUGGUUGCUGCAAUGAGGAAGAAUUUCUACUCCUGCCUUGCAGCUGCUUACAGUUGCGUUGUAGUGCCUGGAGGCAUACAGGAGAUUCUUCAUACAGAUCAUGAUUCCGAGGUUGCUUUCCUUAAUUCAAGAAAACGGUUUGUCAAGAUAGAUAUGCAUGUUGGCUGCCCUUUAGUCCUUGUUGUCUACUUCAGACAGAGCAAAGCUUACAGAUGGUGGAGGCCAGGAGGCAAAUUGUUUGUGAACAUUGCUAUAGCACCUAAAUUUACUCCUAUUAUCUUCUGGGGAAGAUAUGGGACACCGAUCGCUUUCUCGACACCUAUGCAUCUGGUUGUUGGUAGACCCAUUGAGCUGAAGAAAAAUCCUCUACCUACCAUUGAUGAGAUAAAUGAAGUGCAUGGACAAUUCGUGGGCACCUUGCAAGAACUAUUUGAGAAAUACAAUAUGAAAGCCAGAUAUCCUAGCCUCCAUCUAAGAGUCCUGUAA
rnacentral:rRNA from 1 species